rnacentral:tRNA from 1 species
GAGGGUAUAGCUCAGUAUUAGAGCACAUGCUUAGCAUGCAUGAGGUUGUAGGUUCAAUCCCCAGAACCUCCG